rnacentral:tRNA from 1 species
GCCCGAGUGGCGGAACGGCAGACGCACCGCACUCAAAAUGCGGCGGGGAAACUCGUGUGGGUUCGAAUCCCACCUCGGGCA